GAAGUGGGUAAAAAUCUGUAAAGCCACGUUACCAUUAGCACGCAGAGAGCCUUUUCUGGAGAUUGAAAGGAAGUUGAAGAGCUGGGUUAGCUAUCAUCGUAAGCUAUCAUCGUUAGUGAUGGCGUAAACCUGGCAGAAGCCAGAGAAUAUCAUCUAAAUAUUGACAUUUCAAGAAACCGGAUGUAAAGGAAACCAAAGUGAGAUAUGAAACAAUCCAGUGAGGAGAAUAAGAAACCUGCCUAAAAAUGAGUUUUGAAGAGCUUGUUUCAGGCAAGACAUCAGAGAGAAACGGUGUGUGUUGUUGGCUUUAUCUGUCUUGACUCUGCAAGCACAUCUACCCGUUACCUGUGGCUUCUCCCUCCCUCAGGGCUAUGUGGAUGUGAGAGAGGUGACAGGGUGUAGAUGAAGGGGUUGAGCAUCAGGGUCACCACGGUGUUAAGCAAUGCCGCCACCUUGUUCCUGUCUUCCUUCUGGUCACUCUUGCCUGACUGAAUGUACAUGAAGAUGCAGCUGCCAUAGAAGAGAGACACGACAAUGAUGUGGGAGGAGCAGGCGGAGAAGGCUUUCUGCUUCUCUUUGGCUGAGGGGAUGUGCAGAAUGGCGUGGAGGAUGUGGCCAUAGCAAGUGGCCGUCAUAGACAGAGUGCCCAGUAAGCUGACGUUGGCUAUAACAAAACCCAGGAGCUCUAUCAGAGUCAUGUCUGCACAAAUGAGUUUCAAGAGGGGAAAGUUGUCACAGAAGAAAUGGUUAAUGAUGUUGGGGCCACAGAAUGGCUGCUGAAGGACAAGAAAACUUGGAAUAAUGAUGAGAAGGAAUCCUGUCAUCCACUAACAGAGGACUAGCUGGACACAGACCCUUUUGCUCAUGAUGGUGGCAUAAUGCAAAGGGUUACAUACGGCCACGUACCUGUCAAAGGACAUCACCGCCAGGAGGAAGAACUCUGUGGUGCCCAAGAAAAAAUAGAGCAAACUUUGCAGGAAGCAGCCUGGGAGGGAAUGGUCUUGUAUCCUGUGAGGAUGUUGGCCAGCACCUUGGGAAAGAUGACCGAGGUGAACCAGAUCUCCGGGACAGCAAAGUUGCGGAGGAAGUAGUACAUGGUGGUGUGGAGGCGCCUGUCCAUGAGGGUGAUGACCACGAUGACCAGAUUCCCCAGCAGUGUGAGGAGGUAGGUCAGGAGGAGCCCCAGGAAGAUGAGCAUCUGCAGCUCACAGGUCUCUGAGAGCCCCAGCAGGACAAACUCGGUGACGGUGGUGUGGUUCCCCAUGGCUCCUCUGACCUUUGCUGGGGAGGGCUGAUCAAAGGUGUUCAGCAUCAAGAAUCGUGAUGUUGGGGACCUGAGAACAACCUGGAACUGAAAGGAGAGAGGGCUGAAGGUGUACUUUAUUUCUGUGAAGGAUGUAUCUUCCCACCACUGACUACUCAGGCUUAUCUGCAGAGCCUCUGGGG
rnacentral:lncRNA from 10 species